UACGAAGGGUGCGAGCGUUGUUCGGAAUUAUUGGGCGUAAAGCGCACGUAGGCGGCCUGGUAAGUCUCACUGUGAAAGCCCGGGGCUCAACCCCGGGAGGCCAGGGGAUACUGCCGGGCUGGAGACAAGCAGAGGUUGGUAGAAUUCCGGGUGUAGCGGUGGAAUGCGUAGAGAUCCGGAGGAAUACCAGAGGCGAAGGCGGCCAACUGGGCUUGUUCUGACGCUGAGGUGCGAAAGCGUGGGGAGCGAACAGG
rnacentral:rRNA from 1 species